rnacentral:rRNA from 1 species
UAGGUAGGGUGCGAGCGUUAAUCGGAAUUACUGGGCGUAAAGCGUGCGCAGGCGGUUAUGUAAGACAGAGGUGUAAUCCCCGGGCUCAAACUGGGAACUGCCUUUGUGACUGCAUGACUAGAGUACGGCAGAGGGGGAUGGAAUUCCGCGUGUAGCAGUGAAAUGCGUAGAUAUGCGGAGGAACACCGAUGGCGAAGGCAAUCCCCUGGGCCUGUACUGACGCUCAUGCACGAAAGCGUGGGGAGCAAACAGG